CUAAAUUACCUGCGACCCUAAUGAGGACAAACAGUAUCGAAAAUGGAUGGAUGGAUGGAUGGAUAAAGGGACAUCAUAUUUUCCAGUUAUUCACUUUGAAAAGGUUGGACUCGAUCUUCAUGCUGGAGUGAAGAGUGAUGGGAGCCUUCUGCUUUAAUAGCUGCUUAAAGGUCUCACGCACAGAGCAAUGGUGACAUAAAGGUCACCGGCCUGCCCCUGUCACAACAAACGCAUCCAUCUUCGCAAAGGAUACCCUCGUGGUUGAGCUCGAGGCAAUUUGCCGUCCUGCCGAACAUCCUCAUAGGGAGACUGAUUAAAAAGGAAAAAAGCUUUAACGACUUGAUUUCUUCACCUUUUUCUGAUACACUUCAUUUUAAUGACAUCUUUCGAGGAACUGUGAGCCGUCCAUAGAGCGCUGAUCCUAAAACACUGAGAUCAUCAGGUGUGGCGAGGAUAAAGAAACAACGCAGCAUCAGCAACGUUUCUGCUCAACAGACUUGGAAUGUGUCUUAGAAGUACAGUCCUUCUCCGUCUACCUCCCCAAAGAGAAUCAAGGCCAACCGCUCCGUAUUGGAAAGUGAGGUAUACAAGGUGCAUUGCCAGUUUUUGGACGGAUCCCCUCGGUGACCUAGUGAGCUCGGGAAGGAGGAGAAACUGAAUCAGAUCGGGCACAAUGGAACAUUGCCUCUGCUCCAGAAUACAAAUGGCUCGAAGGAAAGGCACCUUGGUCCUGGCCAUGAAUAUUUCAUCUUUUUCCUGCCAUCACUGGUAAGCACAUUUUAUACAUUCUAAUAUAAUUCAAUUUCUCCUUUACAAAGAAAAUUCUGUAAUCCUCGGUUCAGGGUGAGCCCUGAAUAUUUCCGUUAUUGUGCAUUAUUUUUCCAUCUACUAAUCCUCACUUUAGGUGUCAUAAGGACAGGUGGGUUAAUGGUUGGCUCCCCUCAUUUCCCCCCCCCCCCUCAACAUAAGACAUUUUUGGGAAUGUAUAAGCCCAGCAGGUUAUUUAUGCAUCCAUAUGACACAAUGAAGUUGGGGUCAGCCGUACAAAAGCGAGACCCUGGAUGGCGGCCGCCUGUGUCCUUGCACGUCUCCGCCAAAGCCCACGCGAGGCGUCUGCCUCGCACAAAACAGUAAUUGCAAGGUGAUUGGCACAGCUUGUCCUGUACAGCCUGUGUCCCACACUUGAAGGUUCCCCUCAUUGUCACACCGCUUUUUAGCACCGUUGUUCCGCUCUCUCCCUCAGGACCUCACAGCUCACCACUGGCAGAUGAGUCCCACUCUGUGACAAAAGGGUCCCUGCGCUCAACCUCAUUUGAUGCAGUGAUGAAAUCCCCCCCCCCCAACUCACCCACUACCACACACACCCUCUCAUUCUCUUGUUCACACACACUUUGAGAGAAGAAGCAUUCCGUUCAGCAACAGAGGGUGUUGCGGGGACGGGGGGUCAGGACCCAUGGGUGGGCUUUUAGGAGGCAAACAAACAUGAGAGCAGCAGAGGAGUGAUGUCUUGUUUACACAUUAGCAGACAUUUAGCAGGUCUCUGGCGGCCUCGCAGCCGCCGCCGCCGCUGUUGUUUUUUUUGGUUGCCCCUCACACAAAUCAAGGAGCGGAGCCCCUUCGUCACUCCUGAGCCACCCCCACAUUUAGAGGAAGCUUUUAGUACUUUUGACUUCCUUGCUCGUAUAUAAUCAACCCCUGCAAAAUUAUUAUUAUUAUUUUUGGAGUACGAAGGGAGUUGUUCUGGAUUUUAUUUCAGGAAAAUCUCCAGUGAUAAAGUGAAAAUGUUCCAUAUGCACCCCUGGAUGAUUUCCAGGGAUUGUGGCAGCAGCAUCUGACAAAAGGUCAACUGCAAUAAGUCAUCCGUCACUCAAAUAACAGUGACUUGACGACAGCGCGCUCGUUGACAAUUAUUAGCCAUCGGCCCUGUAAUUGUCAUCUCAGCUAGCUUUCCACUGUUCAUUUUUGUGCUACCCACUCAGGCAAACACACGCUUACAAAGCGCAUCUUUCUAACACUAUCUAAUGAGGUGAUGACCAACCGCUUGUUAUAAUUGCUUCGGUCUCAAGCUUAUUAAUCAUAUGUAGAGUUAUUUAAGGAUGCAUAAAUUAAUCUUAGAUUAAAAAAGCCCAUCAAAGCCUCAAAACAAUUAAAGAGUAAGGUAAAAUUUCCCCUGGGCUGCCACUUUUAUUUUAAUAGACUGUUCAGGUGAUUAUCAUACUUUGAUGCAACGCUGUGAUUAAUGCAGACACACUUUUAAAUGAGCUGCUCUCUCUUGCACAAAAAAAGGGCAGAACAAACCAGAUAAUGACCUUGCUGACUUUGCUCAUCUCACUGCCCAACGCAGAAGGUAGGACAACACCUGCUACUGUGGAUUUUUUCUAAGAUGACAGCUAUGAUUUUGAUUUCACUGAAAAUGGGCCGAUGUUGUGGAAAACUAAAAGGACGUUUGAGUUCAUUUUUCCAGUGUCGAUCGGACUUAAUCCGUCAAACUGCUGGAAUUAGAUUGAAUGAAGAGGUGUGAUGAAUGGUUAUUGACUGAUUGUAAACAAAAGAAAAGAAGCUGGGAGACUGGCAUCUUUCUUUUUAGUACAAAUAAAUAGCUCUCAAAUAACUAUUGAACAUUUCA